rnacentral:rRNA from 1 species
UACGGGGGGGGGCGAGCGUUGUUCGGAAUUAUUGGGCGUAAAGGGCGCGUAGGCGGUGUGGUAAGUCUGGUGUGAAACCUCUAGGCUCAACUUAGAGCUUGCAUCAGAAACUGCCGUGCUAGAGUGCGGGAGAGGAGAGUGGAAUUCCUGGUGUAGCGGUGAAAUGCGCAGAUAUCAGGAGGAACACCGGUGGCGAAGGCGGGUCUCUGGGGCCGAUACUGACGCUGGAGGAGCGAAAGCGUGGGGAGCGAACAGGAUUAGAUACC